CAGAACAGCAACACGUGGUGUGUUCCGCCAUUUCAUUCUUCGCGCUCGCAGGCAUAAAAAGCUCAAUGACUCCUCCCAAGUCAGUUGUCUUUAACAAAUUGAUAACCUGCCUUCUCGGCGUGAUAAUUGAAUGAAAUCUGCUGACCUGACUGAAGGUAGUUUUGGUCAGUUUCAGUGGGAAAUAUUUCGUUGGAAGUUCGGAUAAACUUGAAGAGAAUUGUUGGCAGCAGUUCCGGAAUGCCAAUGGGAGUCCGAGAUGGGGUGUGCAUUUACGCAUGUAUGGUGGAAUCGGAGUGACCGUAAGAUCAUUCUGACUCGCUCUGCACAGUGGAGAAAGAGAGAAAGGAAUUUGGGUGGCAGUUAUGGAGCCAAGCCAAGCCCGUAGCCAGCAGAGACAAAGACCGCUGGAGAAAAGGCCUAGCAGCCUUAAUGGGCCACUGGGCCUGAAGAGGAUAGGGGAGAUAUGAAACAAGACACAAGCAAGAGGUGCAAGCAAGUGGCCAGCGAGAUGUACGUGUUCACUAUGGUAGCUGUUGAGCGUUCAAAUUGAGCCAGUGAACACCCAAGACCCAGGAACUCAAGACCCAGGAACUCAAGACCCAAGUACAGAGUAAUAGCUAGGGUGCUAAUGGUGGAGCACACACAUGAGAUUGAGGAUGCCGAUGAUGACAUAUCAAGGAUUGUCUAGUUGGAAAACCCUAACCACGUAGAUGGGCACUCACCCUGGAGGUGAAGGAAGAUUCCCAUAUCUGGCCAUCACUUGUCACCCUGUGCACAUACCCUAUGAGACUGGACUGAAAAUGUCUGUUUUCUCAGUAAAUACUUCAGUGUUUGACUUUUUAGGACAUAUUAUCACUUUUGGAUGGCUGGCAGGUCACUGAAGGGAAAAAGUUGUGACGGCCAGAUAUGGGAAUCUUUCUGAGGUGAAAUCUUGCACCACAUCUUGCAAAAUUAAUUACGUGAUAAUACCUUGCAACAAAAUCACUGAACAGAUCUCUUUAUCUUGCAAGAGAACUCUGAAGUAAAUUUAUGUGGAAUAACAUUUUCCGCUCAGUUUGACCAAUUUUAUGCACGCCAUUUUACCUUUGAACAGCACAUAUGGCAAGAGAAAUUCUGGGAAUGUGUUCUCAGGCUUUUUUCAUGCAAUUUUCAAGCAAUUUCAUUUUUUUAGCCAAAUGAAUUGAAAAAGUUGUCCUUACAUUUUUAGCAAAUUUUCACUUUCCUGGAAACAGCUCAGAAACAAUUAAGGGUUCAUAAUUAGCAUAUUUUUAUACUCCUUAAGUGAUUAUUUCAGAAAUUUGAGCAAAUAUAAAGGAUUUAUUGGGAAAAAAAUGAAUGGGAAUGCAAGGGCGGAUCCAGAACACAAUUUUGGGGGGGGGGGCCA